UUUCUGGUUUUUUUGAACCUUUUUUUACUGCUGCUAUAGAAUUGACGCGUGUGACAGGGUGUUCCAUUCCCUUGGUUUGCCACGUUCUACCCGCACCGCUUUGACCAUCUACCAGUCAAACUUGUCUGGAGUAGAAAUCUCAGGAGUAGGAAGCGUACGACGCGUGGAUUGGCUUCGGUCUCUCUCCACCACCUGUCCUCUUUGACUCUCUCUCGAGAUAUUUCGCCUGGUCUCUCGAAGGAUCCCGUAAAGCCCGUUCCACCGCUUGGCCGCUGUUUGGCUCUAUAAAAACGCCCCACUCCAUGUGCGUCUUCCAUCUCGGCUGCGCCAUAAUCCCGGCUCCUUCUCUCCCGACGCCCCUCCCGUUGAAUACAGCGUGAGCUCUGCCCUGUUGAUGUCCGAUCCAGCGCCGCCGAUUUCUCCAUGGAGUGCAUGGGGUUCUAUCCUAGGUCGCUCGCCGGUCACGGGCUCUCCCUGCCCUGUGCGACUCCUCCGCAGUGUGGUCAUCCUCCCGCGCGAGCGCGGGUGUGCCGCCGUCGUCGAGAUGAACCGCGCCGCCUUCGGUCGCUGCCGCAGCAGGUAUGCAUUAGGAGCGGGCGCCUCUUUUUACCACGGGAAUCAAAUGCUGCUGGCCCCUGAUCUGGAUGACCAGACCUGCAGCCAACUCUUGAUAUGGAAGCAUGAAUAGUGCAGGAGCUAGCAAAGCUGCCGCUCGCCGUAUGGAACACCAGUACCACCGUGGGAAGGUGGAAGCACAAAUAGAAGCUGCUCUUUCUUCCUGGCCGAGUAUGGAUCAAGCGUCUCGGUCAUUAGCUUGGCAGCUAUGCAACAUGCCGUCUCGCCAGCACAACUUCAACCCAUCUGCACAGGUUCAGCGACGCCCCCCUUCCCAUGUCCUCUCGAUGGCAGGAUUACCUCGAUCUCUGGUGCAGCCGUGGCGUUCUGGUUCUUCUUUCUCGCUUGCAGAAGAUAAGCUUUCUAAGCACAAGACUCUUCAGCUUACUGAAAACUUUCUUACCCACAAAA